CCUACGGGUGGCUGCAGUGAGGAAUAUUGGUCAAUGGACGAGAGUCUGAACCAGCCAAGUAGCGUGAAGGAUGACUGCCCUAUGGGUUGUAAACUUCUUUUAUAUGGGAAUAAAAUGUUCCACGUGUGGGAUUUUGUAUGUACCAUAUGAAUAAGGAUCGGCCAACUCCGUGCCAGCAGCCGCGGUAAUACGGAGGAUCCGAGCGUUAUCCGGAUUGAUUGGGGUUAAAGGGAGCGUAGGUGGAUUGUUAAGUCAGUUGUGAAAGUUUGCGGCUCAACCGUAAAAGUGCAGUUGAAACUGGCAGUCUUGAGUACAGUAGAGGUGAGCGGAAUUCGUGGUGUAGCGGUGAAAUGCGUAGAUAUCACGAAGAACUCCGAUUGCGAAGGCAGCUCACUGGACUGCAACUGACACUGAGGCGCGAAAGUGUGGGUAGCAAACAGGAUUAGAUACCCGAGUAGUC
rnacentral:rRNA from 1 species